rnacentral:rRNA from 1 species
AGUGGAUGGGGAGCAACCUAGUUGUGCGUGUGUAAAGGUAGUGCCAAGAAAAGCGAUGAUCAUGUUGAAAAUCAAUUCCCGGUACCCGAAACCGACACAGGUGGGCAAGUAGAGAAUACUAAGGGGCGCGAGGUAACUCUCUCCAAGGAACUCGGCAAAAUGACCCCGUAACUUAGGGAGAAGGGGUGCCACCGAGAGGUGGUCGCAGUGAAGAGGCCCAGGCGACUGUUUAGCAAAAACAUAGGUCUCUGCAAACUCGAAAGAGGAGGUAUAGGGGCUGACGCCUGCCCAGUGCCGGAAGGUUAAAGAAGUUGGUCAGUCUUAGGAUGAAGCUAGCGACUGAAGCCCCGGUGAACGGCGGCCGUAACUAUAACGGUCCUAAGGUAGCGAAAUUCCUUGUCGGGUAAGUUCCGACCCGCACGAAAGGCGUAACGAUCUGGGCGCUGUCUCGGAGAGAGGCUCGGCGAAAUAGGAUUGACUGUGAAGAUACGGACUACCUGCAUUUGGACAGAAAGACCCUAUGAAGCUUUACUAUAGCUUGGAAUUGUGUUCGGGCUUCCUGUGCGCAGGAUAGGUGGGAGGCGUAGAAGGUAUUCUUGUGGGGAUACUGGAGCCAACGGUGAGAUACCACUCUCAGGAGGCUAGAAUUCUAACUUAAUUAAGGACAGUUUCAGGUGGGUAGUUUGACUGGGGCGGUCGCCUCCAAAAAGGUAACGGAGGCGUACAAAGGUUCCCUCAGACUGGUUGGAAAUCAGUCGAAGAGUGCAAAGGCAGAAGGGAGCUUGACUGCGAGAAGUACAGUUCGAGCAGGGUGGAAACACGGUCUUAGUGAUCCGACGGUGCUGUGUGGAAGGGCCGUCGCUCAACGGAUAAAAGUUACUCUAGGAUAACAGGCUGAUCUCCCCCAAGAGUUCACAUCGACGGGGAGGUUUGGCACCUCGAUGUCGGCUCAUCGCAACCUGGGGCGGGAGUACGUCCCAAGGGUUGGGCUGUUCGCCCAUUAAAGCGGUACGUGAGCUGGGUUCAGAACGUCGUGAGACAGUUCGGUCCAUAUCCGAUGUAGGCGUGAGAAUAUUGAGAGGAGCCUUCCUUAGUACGAGAGGACCGGGAAGGACGCACCGCUGGUGUACCUGUUAUGAUGCCAAUUGUAAACGCAGGGUAGCCAAGUGCGGAGAGGAUAACCGCUGAAAGCAUCUAAGUGGGAAGCCCACCUCAAGAUGAGUAUUCUGGUGUAAGGUCACGGGAAGACGACCCGUAAAUAGGCACGAGGUGGAAGUGCAGAGAUGUAUGAAGCCGAAGUGUACUAAUAGACCGUCGGCUUGACC